rnacentral:rRNA from 1 species
ACCGGCGGCUCGAGUGGUGGCCACUAUUACUGGGCUUAAGCGUUUGGAGAUGGGUUGUUAAAUCUCUUGGGGAAUCUUUCGGCUCCACCCGGAAGCGUCCCAGGGAUACUGGCAGGCUAGGGACCGGAAGAGGUGAGAGGUACUCCCGGGGUAGGAUUGAAACCCUGUAAUCCUUGGGGGACCGCCUGUGGCGAAGGCGUCUCACCAGGACGGCUCCGACAGUGAGGAACGAAAGCUGGGGGAGCAAACCG